UACGUAGGGGGCAAGCGUUUGUCCGGAAUCAUUGGGCGUAAAGAGCGUGUAGGCGGCCCGGUAAGUCCGCUGUAAAAGUCAAAGGCUUAACCUUUGAAUGUCAGUGGAUACUGCCGGGCUAGAGUCCGGAAGAGGCGAGUGGAACUCCUGGUGUAGCGGUGGAAUGCGCAGAUAUCAGGAAGAACACCAACGGCGAAGGCAGCUCGCUAGGACGGUACUGACGCUGAGACGCGAAAAGCGUGGGGAGCGAACAGG
rnacentral:rRNA from 1 species